rnacentral:tRNA from 1 species
GCCGAGGUGGCGGAAUUGGUAGACGCGCUGGACUCAAAAUCCAGUGAUAGUGAUAUCGUGCGGGUUCGAUUCCCGCCCUCGGCACCA